CGCGGCCUAUCAGCUUGUUGGUGGGGUGAUGGCCUACCAAGGCGACGACGGGUAGCCGGCCUGAGAGGGUGUCCGGCCACACUGGGACUGAGAUACGGCCCAGACUCCUACGGGAGGCAGCAGUGGGGAAUAUUGCACAAUGGGCGCAAGCCUGAUGCAGCGACGCCGCGUGGGGGAUGACGGCCUACGGGUUGUAAACCUCUUUCAGUAGGGACGAAGCGCAAGUGACGGUACCUACAGAAGAAGCACCGGCCAACUACGUGCCAGCAGCCGCGGUAAUACGUAGGGUGCGAGCGUUGUCCGGAAUUACUGGGCGUAAAGAGCUCGUAGGUGGUUUGUCGCGUUGUUCGUGAAAACUCACAGCUUAACUGUGGGCGUGCGGGCGAUACGGGCAGACUGGAGUACUGCAGGGGAGACUGGAAUUCCUGGUGUAGCGGUGGAAUGCGCAGAUAUCAGGAGGAACACCGGUGGCGAAGGCGGGUCUCUGGGCAGUAACUGACGCUGAGGAGCGAAAGCGUGGGGAGCGAACAGGAUUAGAUACCCUGGUAGUCCACGCCGUAAACGGUGGGUACUAGGUGUGGGGUUUCCUUCCUUGGGAUCCGUGCCGUAGCUAACGCAUUAAGUACCCCGCCUGGGGAGUACGG
rnacentral:rRNA from 1 species